GACGGGACCGCACAAGCGGUGGAUGAUGUGGAUUAAUUCGAUGCAACGCGAAAACCUUACCUACCCUUGACAUGUCUGGAAGGCCGAAGAGAUUUGGCUGUGCUCGCAAGAGAACCGGAACACAGGUGCUGCAUGGCUGUCGUCAGCUCGUGUCGUGAGAUGUUGGGUUAAGUCCCGCAACGAGCGCAACCCUUGUCAUUAGUUGCUACGAAAGGGCACUCUAAUGAGACUGCCGGUGACAAACCGGAGGAAGGUGGGGAUGACGUCAAGUCCUCAUGGCCCUUAUGGGUAGGGCUUCACACGUCAUACAAUGGUCGGGACAGAGGGUCGCCAACCCGCGAGGGGGAGCCAAUCCCAGAAACCCGAUCGUAGUCCGGAUUGCAGGCUGCAACUCGCCUGCAUGAAGUCGGAAUCGCUAGUAAUCGCGGAUCAGCAUGUCGCGGUGAAUACGUUCCCGGGUCUU
rnacentral:rRNA from 2 species